rnacentral:SRP_RNA from 1 species
CUUGUGGCUCCGGGUGACGGAAGACCUGUGAACCCCGCCAGGCCCGGAAGGGAGCAACGGUAGUGGGUCGCCCGGGUACCCGGAGCCGCUUUUUU